UACGUAGGUCCCGAGCGUUGUCCGGAUUUAUUGGGCGUAAAGCGAGCGCAGGUGGUUUAUUAAGUCUGGUGUAAAAGGCAGUGGCUCAACCAUUGUAUGCAUUGGAAACUGGUAGACUUGAGUGCAGGAGAGGAGAGUGGUAUUCCAUGUGUAGCGGUGAAAUACGUAGAUAUAUGGAGGAACACCGGUGGCGAAAGCGGCUCUCUGGCCUGUAACUGACACUGAGGCUCGAAAGCGUGGGGAGCAAACAGG
rnacentral:rRNA from 1 species